AGGCAGGGACGCGCGCUGCUCUCGCCGCCGUCGCCUCGUCGCCUGCCUGCGCGGGGACGAGGCUGUGCCGCCACGUGCGGAAGCCUGGCCGGGCGGGGAGGGCAGUCCCCCGCUGCCAGCGCCUAUAAAAUCCCACCCUGACGCCCGGCGGCAGAGCAGGGCGACGCCGCCGCGGCCCGGGACUCCGGUCUGCCUCCCGCGCGAUCGCCUCUCCGCCCCGGCUGUUCGCAAGACCUGGGACCCGCCGGGAUAACGGCGCCCCGCUCGCCUCACCCCAAGGGCGCCAUGCCUGAGACGCGGGGACACAGGUGGCUGGCUGCUCCGGGGUCUCCGCUGGCUCCUCUAGGGUGAGGGAAGGAGCGGAGGCGACCCGAGUCCGGCGGUCUUGCCCAGGAGCUCCCGGGCCACCCAGCCAGGUGCGCAGUGAACCUGAACCAGGAGGGGGCCGGGGAUGGGGAGGCGAGGCGGGGCUUCGGCUCUAGCUCUCGGGUAGCGGCUUGCGGAGCGACACGGCGGUGCCCGGGGAGGCUUACCUGGGUCUGCACACGCCCGUGCUGGGUGAGAUCCUACCCCGCCCCGCUCGUCCGCACCCCGCUCUCCUGGUCGCUGCGGGGCCACCUGUCCCUCUGGCCUCGAACAUCCCUCCCGCCGUAACCCGGCCGAGUGGGGGACCGAGAGCAGUCCGGGAAGAAGGGCCUCCCCCCUCUACCCGGCCCCGGUAGGCGCCGCCGCCCCUGACCGCACGCGCACGAACCUGUGGCCGCGUCUCCAAGGGACCUGCGUGCCUGGCACCGAGCAGGGGGACCCCUGGGAUCCGGGGCUUCUAACUCCAGGAGGAAGGGGGACUUGGAUGAGGCGACCCACGUGCACGCAGUGCGCGCUGUGUCAGCCUGUCUAGAACCGAAAGGAAACGCCAUGGUCCUCUUUGUUACAACUGGAAGUGAUGCCCACAUGCUUGCGAGGGCUGAGACUGUGCAUCCAAACCGGUAUUUUUUCCCUCUCUUCUUUCCUGCCUCUCUUCUUCAUCUCUCUCCCCUCUUUGUCUCCUCCCCUCACUCUGCCUCCCACCUCUGUCUCCUGUCUGACUUGAUAAAGGUGUAGAUGUGUGAAGGGUUAUGCCCUCAGCUCCUCAUAUUAUAGUUUUAAGAUGUGUCUGAACAGUACUUAUCCAUUGUAGAUGACAUGAAUAAAGCUUUGUGCUGCAAUAUUUGUUUCUGAGAAACCCCUGCAUUUCAAGAGUAUAAAAAACACGUUGAAUAAAUGUUUGAAUAUGUCGUUUAUGUAAAGAUCAGUUACGUUUCAAUUUUAUACAAGUGCAACUUUGAAAUCUGCAGGGCAAACGACUUACUUCCUCACCUCCCCCCCCCAAGCUUUCUGUACCCAAGCUUUCUGAAUUACUUAACCUCUUUCUUCUAUUAACAAAUGCAAUUCUGAAGCAAAGAAAUAUGAAUUCUGGGAAGCAACGUGGCAGGGAGAGGUUUGCUGGGAUGAUAGGCCCUGAAGGAAAAGAUUUUGGAAAUAUGUUGGAUAUUUUCUGUCUUGUAGAUAUAAUUAUUAGCAAUUAAAAGUAUUCAAAAGUGCACUUUGAAUUAUUAAAAAUCUUUCACAUUGUAAAUGUUUCUUUAUACUUUAAAAAAAGUUCUGGAUCACAAAAGGAUAGAUUAUCAUUUGGUAUGCUAAAUCCAGAAUUCUGACUUGAAUUGUAUCUCAUUAUUGUUACACUAGCAAAUGGUCCUACAAACAGCACCCACUCAGGGAACAGGGGUAGUUACAGUAAAUGGUGUAACUAUUACUUCCCACAGGAGGUACAUGCAGAACACAUGGCAGAGAUUGGAAGGAGAAAAUUAUUAUGUUCACCCCUGCUUUUACAGUAUAGCUCCAGAAAUCACUUUUUUUGCCUAUGUCUUUAUUUGUUUGUUCUUUUGUUUACACAUAAAUAACUUUCAUAUUGCUCCUUCGAUCUGGUCUUCUUUCACAAUUCCACAUGUAACAUUCUAACAGGUGACAUUGCUUCUAGCCAAAACUGAUAUUUCAGCUUGUUUACAAACAAAAACCAUGACCACUAAUUCCUCUGUUCAUAUAAUCCAGAUUAAAUACCAAUGUAAAUAUAUAUAUAUCUAAAACAUAGGUAUGUUUUGUAAAAUUGCUUAUUAAUGUUGGCUUAAUCAAAAUCCUUAUAUCUUUAAAAUUCAUCUUACAUCCAAAGACUAGCUUUUUAUUCUCCUUUUUGCUCAUCCAUUCUGUUAGGACUCAGCUGGCAACCUCAGGUAAUCAGGGUUCCAUGAGUCUGGCAAUGUGUAACCAGCUACAGGAACACAUGGAAAGAAAAUAGAGCAAUAGCUUGGACCUUGCAUACUUACAGUCCAGUAGAAAACGCAACAUAAAAGCAACCGGAAUAAAGUCCUGGAGCUCAGCUGUUUGUACUAAUUUUCAUUUGAGCCAGAUUUAAGCCCUAUCUUGAAAGAGGAAGAAGGAUAUUGUUUUAGUUAAGCUCUGCUCUAAAAUUUGGUGCCUUAAAAUGAGUCCAUGUAUUUUAAUAGGCUCAGCUGGGUGGUUCUGCUAGAUGUGAUGUGGGCUGGGGUCUGGGGUUUGAUCAGGCUGGGCCAGCAUGGCUCCUCCUACUGCUGGCAGUUGGCCUUGUCAGCUGAAGAGCAUCUGGGGCUGUCAGUUGGAACUUGAUUUGAAAGAAAAGCAUUUGGUCAUGAUUUAGCAAAUUAGCAAACAGUUUCAAAUUUACUGGUUUAAUGUUUCACAUCUGAAAAGAUAAGCCUGGUGAAAGUCUGUUACUUCUUAAACCAAAAAAAGGGCAUCAGCAACAAUCUCUGGGGUUUGUGUUUUUACCUGAACUCUAUAGAAUCACAAACUAAUAAGCAUUUGUAAAUGCAUAUAGAAACAAAUAAGACUGCAAGUAAAGAUUAAGAAAGAAAUAAUUUUAAGGUUAUAUGAUAGUGUGUUAGCUACAUUUUAAGUAGUUACAUUGAAACUUAACAGUGAAACAACCCCUUGUUUUACUUUGGAUCUUAAUAUGCUGGGGUUUGUUUUUAUUUACAUAUGAGUUUUUCCAAGUUUUUAACAGAAGACACAGACGCUAGACCAUAGAGGUAAUAUAUCUAGAAAUGGAGAUAUAUUCAUCUUUUAUCCAAUACUAAUGGAAUAUAAAAAAAAUUGUUGGAGUUCCCAUCAUGGCACAGUGGUUAAGGAAUCUGACUAGGAACCAUGAGUUUGUGGGUUCAAUCCCUGGCCUCACUCAGUGGAUGAAGGGUCCAGCAUUGCCGUGAGCUUCGGUGUAGGUCGCAGAUGUGGCUCGGAUCCCGAGUUGCUGUGGCUGUGGUGUAGGCCCUCAGCUGCAGCUCCGAUUAGACCCCUAGCCUGGGAACUUCCAUAUGCU
rnacentral:lncRNA from 1 species